rnacentral:rRNA from 1 species
UACAGAGGGGGCAAGCGUUAUUCGGAAUUAUUGGGCGUAAAGGGCGCGUAGGCGGCUUGGCAAGUGGAAGGUGAAAUCCCUCGGCUUAACCGAGGAACUGCCCUCCAAACUGCUUUGCUUGAGGCCGGGAGAGGUGAGUGGAAUUCCCAGUGUAGCGGUGAAAUGCGUAGAUAUUGGGAGGAACACCAGUGGCGAAGGCGGCUCUCUGGACCAGCACUGACACUGAGGCACGAAAGCGUGGGGAGCAAACAGG